rnacentral:SRP_RNA from 1 species
GUUUUCGAGUGCAUGCUUGAGGUUGCAU